rnacentral:rRNA from 1 species
AUUGAACGCUGGCGGCAUGCCUUACACAUGCAAGUCGAACGGUAACGGGCCUUCGGGUGCCGACGAGUGGCGGACGGGCGAGUAAUACAUCGGAACGUGCCCGAUCGUGGGGGAUAACGAGGCUAAAGCUUUGCUAAUACCGCAUACGAUCUACGGAUGAAAGCAGGGGACCGCAAGGCCUUGCGCGGACGGAGCGGCCGAUGGCCGAGUAGGUAGUGUGCGGGAUAAAAGCUUACGAAGCCGACGAUCUGUAGCUGGUGGGAGAGGAUGAUCAGCCACACUGGGACUGAGACACGGACCAGACGCCUGCGGGAGGCAGCAGUGGGGAAUUGUGGACAAUGGUGGCAAGCCUGGUCCAGCCAUGCCGCGUGCAGGAUGAAGGCCUUCGGGUUGUAAUCUGGUUUUGUACGGAACGAAAAGCCUUCUUUUAAUACAGGAGGGUCAUGACGGUACCGUAAGAAUAAGCACCGGCUAACUACGUG